rnacentral:rRNA from 1 species
GGGAGGGGGGGCUAGCGUUGUUCAGAAUUACUGGGCGUAAAGGGCGCGGUAGGCGGCCUGUCAAGUCAGGGGGUGAAAGGGCCCGGGCUCAACCCGGGAACUGCCCUUGAAACUGGCAAGCUAGAGUCCGAGAGAGGAUGGCGGAAUUCCCAGUGUAGAGGUGAAAUUCGUAGAUAUUGGGAAGAACACCUGUGGCGAAGGCGGCCAUCUGGCUCGGUACUGACGCUGAGGCGCGAAAGCGUGGGGAGCAAACAGGAUUAGAUACCCUGGUAGUCCACGCCGUAAACGAUGUGUGCUAGACGUUGGGGGUCUUAGGCCUUCGGUGUCGCAGCUAACGCGUUAAGCACACCGCCUGGGGAGUACGGCCGCAAGGUUA